rnacentral:lncRNA from 1 species
UGUGUAAUUCAAUCAAUAUUUAAAGCAAAAAAAGGAACAAUAUCACUUUUUAUUUUUUUAGAUUUUAUUUUUUUAUUUGAGAGAGUGAGAGCACAAGAGAGAAAGAGAGAGAGAGAGAGAGAGAGAGAGAGAGAGAACGCAAGCAGGGGGGAGUGGCAGGUCAGCCCAGAGUGGGACUCCAUCCCAUGAUCUUGGGAUCAUGACCUGAGCCGAGGACAGACGCUUAACUGAGUGAGCUAUCCAGGUACCUGAUAAUAACACAAAUAUUUAAAAAAUCGAUAAUCUAUUUAUAUGAGAAUAUUGAUAAAAUAGGUAAAGUAGAAAAUAUGCAUAUGGUGUUUCUUUUGCUUUCUGUCCUUAUUUGUGAUCCAUUGGCCUUUUCAUGAGUAAUGAAACAGUGUGAUGGUCUCUAAAUAUAGGCUCAAAGGAUGCUGGCCUUAAGAGGUCACGUUUGUUUCCACAGCUCUUUAAGUUGGACCUGUGAUUUGCUCUGCCCACAGAAUGCAGCGGAAGUGAUGCUGUUCCGGUUCUAACACUAGGCCUUGAGAAAUCUCCAAGCUUCCAUCCUCAUUCUAGGAAUUAUGAUGGAGAGUGAAAAUCCAUGUGGAAAGGGGCCCCCCGCUGUGUCUGCCUUCUCAGCCACCACAGCUGAGGCUCAUACGUGUGUGUGAACCCGGAUAAGAAUAGGGCAUUGUGUGGCCUGGCCCUGGUGUCUCCAACUCCAUCUGGCCUCUCUUUUCUACUUUUGUCUGCACUGUACCUAUCCUUGUCUUAACUGGGGCUGCCUCUGCCAAGAAUGUUCUUCUCCCCCUACUUGAUUCACCAUUUUACCAGGGAGGCAUAGCUGUGAUGCUGAGAGUUGGUGGAAGAAGGCUCACAGCCAUGGCACAGGGCUGCAGGCAUAAAUGGAAACCUGGGUUGUAUAAACUGGAGCCCAGGGGGUAGACAGACCAGCCUCUGUGGGUUCUUGUACGGGAGAGUGCAGACACCGGAGCGAGAGAUGUGGAAACGGGUACAGCCACGACAGUGUGACUGAGCAUGCCGUGAUGGAGUGAUCACGCAUCUUACUGAUGCCGGGACAGAAUACCAGUGGAUAUACCCCU